rnacentral:lncRNA from 1 species
CACCCACCAGUGCUCCCACCAAAAAAAGAAAAAAGAAAUGGGAAAAUUUUUUAAAAGAUGAGAAAACCAUACAGGUAAAAGAUGUUAUAUACAUGAAAAUGUCUCAAAAUAUUAAAAAAAUAUGAGAAAACAGGCAUCAGAGGAUAUAUAAAUAUGAAUGUUGUUAUUUAAACGUUGUUAAUAAAAACCAAAAAUUAUAGAAAAUAACCAUCAAUACUCAUAGAAGAAAGGAAUAGGAGAUAGACUAACAUUUAACAGAAUUACCUAAACUGGUAUGAUGGAGAGAUUUUUUUUUUUCUGUGUUUUCCAAAAUCUUUGUCAAUGAGUAUGUAUUUCUAAUUAGGGGAAAUGUAUUUGAAAAGGAAAACAUAUUUCCAUAUUACUGCCCUUUUAAAUAGCAUAUCUAGAUUUUAGUUUGAUCUUAAUAAGGAACAUGAUUAUGUAUUAUCUGUAACCUGAUACUUUUUUCCUAACUUUCCUGCAUUACAAAAAUUCUUUAGUGACCCCAGGAGUGGGGAUGUGGGGGUGAGUCUAAUGCUGUUUUAGUUUAAAUUAAUAGUAAAUUCAGGUAUUAAGUUUUUACAAAAAAUACUGGUUUCCUAGAGCUGUUAACUCUUGUAUACUACAAAAAAAUCAAACAGCUAGUUCAGAUCAUUUAAGUCUUCAUUUUAAAAUACUGCUUUUUAACUUUAUGAUAGUCUUUUUACAAUGUAAAAUUGAUAUACUAAUUUGAGUUUCUGAUUG